rnacentral:rRNA from 1 species
GGGCCCGCACAAGCGGUGGAGCAUGUGGUUUAAUUCGAUGAUACGCGAGGAACCUUACCAGGGCUUAAAUGUACGUUGCAUUAGUUAGAGAUAGCUAUUUCUUCGGACUACGUACAAGGUGCUGCAUGGUUGUCGUCAGCUCGUGCCGUGAGGUGUCAGGUUAAGUCCUAUAACGAGCGCAACCCCUGUUGUUAGUUGCCAGCGAGUGAUGUCGGGAACUCUAACAAGACUGCCGGUGCAAACCGUGAGGAAGGUGGGGAUGACGUCAAAUCAUCACGGCCCUUACGUCCUGGGCUACACACGUGCUACAAUGGCAAGUACAACGAGUCGCAAUACCGCGAGGUGGAGCAAAUCUCUUAAAGCUUGUCCCAGUUCGGAUAGGAGUCUGCAACUCGACUCCUUGAAGUUGGAGUCGCUAGUAAUCG